rnacentral:pre_miRNA from 1 species
AAUAAGUGCAGCCGUGGAUAUCUGUGCCCAACGUUUGACCGUCCGUCUUAUUUAAAAAAUUUGAAAAUAUUUAGUCACACAUAAAUACUAUUCAUGUUUUAUCAUCUAAUAGCAAUAAAAAUACUAAUCAUAAAUUUUUUUCAAAUAAGACGAACAGUCAAAUGUUGAACAUGAAUAGUGCAAAACUGCACUUAUU